CUGCCCAAUGACCUACUUCUGAAAUUGCUGGCAAGAAACACGCGUCCCCAGCAGCAGGCCCCAUACCCUGGCAAGGGCUGGAACCACCUGUGCAGUCAGUCCAGUCACAAGAUACGGCGUUCUGUGUUUUCAGGUUUAUUCUCCCAGUGGGGAACAUCUGGUGAUCUGCAAGACCAUCUCUGCUAGAAAUGGAUAACUUCACGAAUGAUCAGUCAGGCCCAUGUCAGAGGAACAGGCUGAUAGGAUUGCUAGAAACAGAUGACAGUAUCCAGGAAGAUAAACCUGCAUCUAGUACAAAGGAAGAAAGAUCGGGACAAUAUGGAAAGAAGGGAGAACCCCGCCCCUUGGAGACCCCUUACCAGAAGGAAAGCAGUGACUACUCUCCUAAAGUCAUGAUUAAUCUGAACUAUCGGCCAGGACUUGUGAGCAACCAAAAGGACCCCAAUCGCUUUGACAGAGACAGGCUCUUCAGUGCAGUCUCAAGGGGCAGCCCUGAGGCACUGGAUGGCUUACUUGACUACUUAAGGAGGACCUCGAAAUUUCUCACCAAUUCUGAAUACACAGAUGCAAAGACGGGGAAGACUUGCUUAAUGAAAGCCCUGCUGAAUUUAAAAAAUGGAAGGAAUGACACAAUCCCACUUUUGCUGGAAAUAGACCAGAAGACACAGAAUCCCAGGCCGCUUGUCAAUGUGGCAUGCUCUGACUGUUACUACAGAGGCCAGACAGCACUCCAUAUUGCCAUAGAGAAAAGGAGCCUGGACUUAGUGAAGGUUCUAGUAGAGCAUGGAGCUGAUGUCCACGCCAGAGCUCAUGGUGAAUUCUUCGGAAAGAAGAAAGAGGGAGUUUGCUUUUAUUUUGGUGAACUUCCUCUCUCUUUGGCUGCUUGUACCAACCAGUUUGAGGUGGUGGAAUAUCUUCUAAACAACCCUCACCAAAAAGCCAGACUCCAGGAGCAAGAUACACUGGGCAACACAGUCCUCCAUGCCCUAGUGAUGAUUGCAGAUGACACUGAGGAGAACACCAAGUUUGUGAGCACAAUAUAUGUUGAAAUCCUGAAGGCAGGUGUGAAGACUGACCCAACACUGAAACUGGAGGAGGUCGUGAAUUAUGACGGACUAAAUCCUCUGCAGCUUGCUGCCAAGACGGGCAAAGUGGAGAUCUUCAAACACAUCAUCCAAAGAGAGAUCAAAGACCCUGUGUACAGGCACCUGUCCCGCAAGUUCACUGAAUGGACCUAUGGACCUAUCCAUGUCUCCCUCUAUGAUUUAUCUUCUCUAGACAGCUUUGAGGAAAACUCUGUGCUGGAGAUUCUGGCAUACAGCAGUGACACACCAAAUCGGUACAAAAUGGUGGUUUUGGAGCCACUGAACAAACUGCUUCAGCAGAAGUGGGAAACGUUUGCUUCCAAGAGAUUCUACUUCAGUUUUAUCUCAUACCUGUCAUUCAUGAUCAUCUUUACAGCCAUUGCCUACUAUCAGCCCUUACGGGUAAAGCCUUCAUUUCCAGUGGAGUUCACAGCUGGAGGCUUCCUGUGGGUCUCUGGGCUGAUCAUUAUCUUGCUUGGAGGUGUAUAUCUAAUUUUUGCUCAGAGUCUGUAUCUGCGGAGGAGACGCCAGUCCCUGAAGACUAUGUGUUCUGACAGCUGUGUUGAGAUCUUGAUCUUCAUCCAGGCUUUCUCCUUGCUGUUGUCAGCAGUCCUGUAUGGUGCAAGUUCAGAAAACUAUGUGGCAGUGAUGGUGUUCUCCCUGCUUUUGGGAUGGGUGAACAUGCUGUAUUACACUCGGGGCUUUCAGCGCAUUGGAAUUUACAGUGUCAUGAUACAGAAGACUAUCCUGAGAGAUCUGUUGCGUUUCCUCUUGGUUUAUAUUGUCUUCCUCUUUGGCUUUGCUGCAGCUCUUGUUACGCUGUUGGGGGACGCUCCUUCACUCUCUCAGAACAAGUCUGUUGCUCAGCUGGAGAAUGCUGGGAGCCAUGCUAUGUAUGGCGGGCUGCUCAGCGUCUCCCUGGAGCUCUUCAAGAUCACCAUUGGGAUGGGUGACCUGGAUUUUCAUGAACAUGCCAGAUUCAGAUACUUUGUCAUGCUUCUGCUGCUGCUUUUUGUGAUCCUCACUUACAUCCUUCUGCUCAACAUGCUGAUUGCGCUCAUGAGUGAGACUGUCACUGAUAUUUCUGAUAACAGCAAGAGUGUCUGGAAGCUGCAGAGGGCUAUUGCUAUUCUAGAAAUAGAGAAGGCCUGGCUGUGGCGCCAAGGAGGAAAGAGGAGAUCAGGCUGCUUGAUGUCAGUGGGCCUCAAUAAAAAAGAUGAGAGAUGGUGCUUCAGAGUGGAGGAAAUUAAAUGGACAAGUUGGGCAAAGGAAGUGGGAGUUCUUAAGGAAGAGCCUGGAAAAAACAGUGAUUCAGAAGUAAAUCCAGAAGAGACGAGAUCACGGAAACAGGUGCCACAGAAACAACUGAGAUCAGCUGUUUCAGAGGAGCAGUCACUGCCGCAGCCCCAGCUACCAGCAACUGAGAUGAUGCCUCUAAAGGGACAAACCAGAAAUCUUUAGCAGAACAUCAACCUCUCUCAAAAAGAAACUGAAGACAUGAUCAGUGUGGACUGUAAGGCGUUACCAAAGUCCUGAUUACAUUUCACCAGUACUGUGCUGACUUCAUUGCCAUACAAGUUAACUCUUGUUUUUUGUGACAUCUUAUCAGUUUGUGCAGCCACUUCUGAAACUGUAACAGACUGUUGCAUUGGAUACAUCUUUCAGAGAAGGAAAGUCACUGCACAGAACACCAGCCCCAGCCCUCUAAAACUCACAAAUGAAGAACGAUGGAUAGUAGACAGAGACGGGCAGAUGCAGCAGAGCACUACAUCACGUUGGUCAGAAGGUUUAGCAGUGCCCAAACUGCUGUGCAGUUAUUUGUGCUCAUGGAAAAAUGGAGAUUUUUGAGGAGUUACUUUUUCUGCAGUGAGGUCCCCCCUAUGAAGCUGAGGUGAGUCAGUGCUAUUGAGGUUAACCUCCGUAACCUUCCAUUUUUUUUGUGUCUUCAGUCAAUUGGCUCCUCUUUGGUUUCAACAACCGAGCCACUUUCCAUUUUGGUCAUGUAGCAAACAGGAAAGCUGCCUGGGAUUUACUUCAUGGGAUGUCUGCUAUUCCUGCCAGAGAAAGGACUUAGAAGCUGGUUCAUGGCUUUGAAGGCCCAACAGAAUUUUGGAAACCACUCUUAAGAGAGCAUAAUGUUUUGUCACAAAACUCUUCAGUCCUUUGCACAACAAAUUAUUGAGUGGUGAAGUCCCCUCUCCCUUCUGCUCCUUGUGUUUUCCUACCCACCUGCAUGGAUCCUGCGUCUUAAAUCCAUCUGUAUGCUAAGGGGGAAGCUUGGCAAUGUUCUCAUCUGAGGAAAAAAAAAAGAAAAUAUUCUCAAACCUCAGUGAAUGAAUAGCUGCAGAAUCUCUCCUCUGUCUACUUUGUGUAUGAGCCAAAAGACUCUGAAGGCCCAGCCAUGCUGUGGAGAGAAGACACCAGCAGCUCUCAUUAUCUUCCGUGGAUGUUUGUGGAUGCUCAAAUCCUCUCCUGUGCUAUUUGGUCAAAGUUGCCUGGUCCCUGACUGGGAUAGGAGGUGAAUGCAGACUGCAUUGCUUCCCAGCUGCAUCUCCUCCAUCACACUUUGCCAGGUCAUUGCUUUCUGUGGCAUCUAUACCAGGCUUCCAAUGUUUCCCACUGCACACUACUCCUUCUCACUGCUUAUCAGUGUAAUUUUCUUGAAAUAAGCUUCGCACCCAGUUUGUGUAUGGUUCCCAGCUCCCCUCAAGGCUGUUUUCCUAAGGGGUGGAGGUUGAAGCAGGUUUCUCUUACUCCCCAAAUACUUUGCACAUUUUUCUUUUCCCUGUUUUUUUCCAAAGUGUGCUCAGAGGCUGAAGCCAGUAUAAGGGGGUGGAUGUAUCUGCGUCCCGGCUGAUUCCUUCUCUCUCUUCAUGACCCCAUGUGCUUCUGAGCAUAUUUUCCAUUGCCUCGUUAGCUGGUUAAAGGAGUCUUUGAAAUGUGACAAGCAGAAGGGCUCAGACAAAGAGCAGAUGCUUUAUACAGCGUCUACGUGAGCUGCAAAGAGUUAUUUCCAAAGCGAGGAGGCUGGCAGAUUUGUCAGCUGGACUGUUCCUGCGAUCAGUGAUUAGGUUUGUUCUUCUUCGCUGUAUUUUAAAAUCUAUAUCUGUAAUUUAUUCCUCUGGGACUGAAGAAAAAAAAAAAGGCAACCUUUUAAAGAAAACCGUUCCCCUUCACCACUUCCUGGCUGCUUCAGCAGCAGCACAUCAGAAGGGCGUGUGACUGCGGCUGCCUCACGGCUGGCGUCUCUCAUUGCCAUCUGAGCCCACACAGUGUUUCCUUUGCUUCUGCUGCCAUCUUUUUCAGCUCAGAUACGGGAGAUGCAGAGUAUUACAGCCUUCCUGGACGGUCAGGCUCUGAUGGUUGUCAAAUGUUGUGAACACAGGGAAUCCUUAGAGGAGGGGACUUGGAGGCAGCUCGAAGAAGUGUGUAUGUGACCUGUUGCUCCCUGCUCUAAGGAUGCUUGGAAAAUGUCUGCUUUCUGGACAAAGAGCUCCGUGUCUCUUUGAUGGUUCUUCUUCCCUUCCCCAGUCCCCACAUUCCCAAAGAAUUUUCUACACAGUUAACUUUUCUGAUUGCUCAGCAUUUGCUAUUUCACCGUGGUUAUCACUUGUAAUAACACAUCCUCCAUACAAGUAGCACGUGGCGCACAGUGCUCAGUAUGAACUGAGGGGGAAGCUCUGGGCAGUCUGCUCCAAACGAGAGUCAACAGUACAGAGAGAUGAGGGAUCCAGAAAAGCCCAAGAACUGAUGGUAGAGGGGAGUAGAAAUGCACAGGAUCCCUUAACAUACCCUGGGCAUCCUGCUGUAAAACGUCAAUGUUUCUGAUAAUAAUAAUUAUAUAUUAAAUAAAAAAGGAACACCAGCGCUCUGUAUGUGUGUGAUGGGGGAAACCUAAGCUCUGCACUGACAAAGGACUAUGAUGAGGGGCAUCUGAGAGCUGCUGUAUUUCUUAAACCCCUGCUGUGAUCAAGGGGAUCUGUCUGCACGUUUCUGUGAUGUGGCAUCCCACGUAGCAAGCACCAGAGGAGGAAGUGGACAGUACAUAGUCCCUAGGGGCUUCUCCAGACAUCCUGUUGUGCUAGCUGUACUAAAGGUGCUGAUAGAAAUGAAGGAAAAUGCUAAAAUGUACCUCUCGGUAACAUAAGUUUGCCCUUCAGUAGCUCUUUGCAUCUGCAGUUUUAUUAAAAUGUCACUGCUGUACACCUCGAAACCUCAGCCAGGAAACCCACAGUAGUCACCAUCUCCGUGAGCAAUGAGAUGUGCAGAGCUGGAAAGUCAGCAGAGAAAGAGAGCUGCUUUUGCCUGGCAUCUCCAGUCCUCCUCCCUCCUUCAUCUCAAAACUGGGAACACCAAGCUCACUCUUGCACCUGCUCUACCUAAUGAAUCAGGUUUGCUGUGGUGCAGUAUGGAGCACAGACCCAAAGUGAACGGAGCCUGUAAGAAAGCUGCAGCGGAUGAACUGCUCUCUUCAAGGUCCGAAACACAAAGCAGCAGAGCUCACGGAUGGCAUUGCAGCUACACUGCAGCACAUAUUGGAUAGAGUCUGUAAUGAAAGCCAUGACUCCAGACUGACUGAUGACAAGAUAAUCAUUGCCAUGGUAUCUGGGCAAGUGUUUCUGGAAAACCAUUGACUGAGAAGCACGCUGAACACCCUUGAAAUGGCUGAGGUCAAACUCUGUGUGCCUGGGGUUGCAUCUUAUUUUGGCCCUGAACUUUGCCCAUUUGGUGUGAACUGUGAUGAGGUGACAGAUCUCCUUGUUGGAGCUCCGUUUUAUCACAUCCAAGGAGAAGAAGGAAGGGUUUACGUCUAUUGCCUGGAGACAAAGGUAAAAACACUGGUAGCGUAAACAGUCCAUGUUGGGGAUUUUCCAACCAUGCCUAAGUAGUGACAAAUAAAACAUUCCUCCUUUGUGCUCUCACUGAAUGUGCUCUCCCUGUAUGGUAGAGGACUGCAGGAUGAAGCCAGCGAUCCUAUCUGAGCUGUUAGAGUAUAAAAAAAGAAAUAACUGAAGAAAUAAAACCAUCCUGUGCAUGAGAUAUACAGAUAUCACAGCGUGAUAAAACCGUUUCUUCUGCUUGUAUGCAGGACCCCUAACUGAGCAGCGACCACUCCUUUUGCAAGGUUUGGGUUUACUGUGGCCAGCAUUGGAGACAUCAGUGGGGAUGGAUAUGAGGACAUUGCAGGUGGAGGCCCCAUGAAGAUCAGCUGUCAAACAGUUCCUCUUUCGGCACCAUUGACAUCUGGAAAGGUGAUAAAGACAAGAUGAAGAGCUCUUUCUCUCAGGUAGUUGUCUUGUUGGGGGUUGUCUCCAGUGCAGUUUGAGAGGGGAGAGCUUGUGUUUCUGGAGCAGGAGGCUGGGAGGAAGGGCUUCCACAUUCCAUUUCCAUCGAUGAAUGAGAAAUUUGUAGAUGUUGGAUGGCCUGUGGGGCUCAGGUUCCUGCAGCAGAGGUGCUCCUCAUUGUAGUUACUUGUCUGUAGGCCAGGGCGUGGGAUUCACCUGCUGCCUGCAGGGAAACACACUCUUUUGCAAACCUGCCUGCUCGUUCCAGGAAGCUGACAGUCAAAAUGUUGCAAGGCAGGAGCAUUGAGAAACCAGCCUCACCAGCAGACUAUGAAAGGAAGUGUAUUUUUCAAAGGACAAGAGGGAGAUCUCAACUUAUAUUUGUUGUUCCCCCCAUUAAAGAGUAAAAGUCCGUGAUAUUUCAUCAGGACUCCAGUACUUUGGACAAUCCAUCAAUGGUGGCUUUGCUUGCACUAAUGAUGGGCUCCAGAAUAUCCCAGUAGGGUCACUGCAGGAUGUGGUUGUGCUCUGGUAGGUAACGAGUGCUGCUUUUUAAUUUAUUGGGGAAAUGGUUCAAAGACAAAUUUAGAAUCUGUGUUCCAAGCACUGUGUAAUGAUUCUAUUUUUAAUUUGGCAUCAGAGGGACAUAAAAAAAUCUUUCCCAGUGCUAGAAGAAAUAAUAAAAAAUGUGAAACAUUCAGCUCACAUUGCAUCGGCUUUUGCCUCUGAGCUUCUAAAGCUUUGAGCAACUAAUGAACAUGAACAGAUUAACAUAGCUCUUAAUGCCUGCAGUUCAGCACUGGUGAUUUAAGUCAUUUUGACACAAGAGAACCCUUCUGGCUGAGCAGGCCUUGUUUUCAAUCAGCUGUCUGGGAGUAGAUGACUUGUGGAGUUCACCAGAGAGAGGACAAGAUGGACAGCUUCGGUUUUGUUCUUGCAUUUUGUAUUUGAAAACCUGCUGUAGAUAAAGGGAGAAUUUGUACCACUAGAUAAUGAGCUUAUGUAAUGGAAACAUAAACAGAGUGUUUCAUUUUGAAACUCUCUCCAUACUGGUGUAUUUUGGCUGUCUGUUGCUUCAGACUGACGGGGUUUUGUACAUUCCCAGCAAAAAGUGGAACUUCUGUAAAUAGGCCAGCGUGGCCCAGGUGAAACGUUAUGGAAAAGCUGAGCACUUCUCAGUCUUGCUGCCAGGAUUUCUUACAACUUUUGCUUUUUCUGUAAUGAUUCAAGCACUGAUACGUGUUUCGUGCUUGCUCUUCGCUGACCAGCUUGAGACCAGUUGUUCACUCUCUCACCCGCUUGAGAUUCAAUCCUGAGAGAAUUCUGAUUUUCCAGAACAGCAGCAUCAUUACAUCAAAGCUGCAUUUCAGUAUAAUCCCAGCUCUGCCAGUGUCUCAGCAAGGUGAUAAGUGGGAACUGUGAUCAGACUACAGUCUGCAGUGCUUUGCUUCCUCAGAAACUCUGCACCGAGGAUGACUUCUGGUACAUCUAACAAAGCAUGCAGAAAAUCUCAGGGCCUAAACUGUCAGAGCCCCUUCGUUUCCCUCAGCUUAUAGGAAGCUGUUGGGAAUCUGUCGCUGUGUUUUUAUCUCCUCUGUGAAUGCUGGAGCUGCAGAUUGGAGACAACGCUUUAAUGUUAAGAAGGAAGCAUUUUCCUCCACGCUCUGAAUGAUAUUGAAUAGUUAACUGUUGCAUUAUCCUGUGUGUGAAAGUACUUGGAGGGAGUAAUUACCAGAACAAGAUGAUUUGGGUUGCUCAGUUAUUAAAUAAGAGUAGGAAAUACAGGUAACCUGUCUCACUUUUCUCUCUGCUUCUAGAAGGGAAGUAGUGGUGGGCCACUCUAAGGGAGCGAAUGUUCUACAAGCAGUGGGGAUGACUUAUACAUGACAACUGUGUCUUGAACGAUCCUAAAAAUCUCCAUUUUAAGAGGGUGAUGGCUGAGCCAUCCUCUCCUGCUAUUCAUGCGGCCAACCAAUACCAUUCACUUCUACAGACUUACCCUUAAACUGCGGAGCUGGGCAUCCAGUGUUCAAGAAAACAGCUAUUUAGUUUGUCUCACCCAGCUGCAAUCAAGACUAAAGAACCCCCUGUGCAUUUUCUUCACUAGAUAAAUGGAGAAAAUCACUUUAAUGCUACCAUCGGGUUACAGCUUUGGGUUCCUGUCAGCAUACAAGGUCACAGCUGUCAAAAAUGCAUCAGGAACACAGGACAGAGAUGCUCGAAAUCUACCCCAGUGGUGGGAGUUACUGAGGAAUGAACAGUCAGCGUCUUGCGUACCUACGGACAUCUGAACACCCUUCUUCCCUCCUCUUUGUCUCAAUUGUGGUCUCAGGAAAGAGGAGCCAGCCUGCUGCUGCCUCUUGGUUU